UGGGGGAUAUUGCACAAUGGGGGAAACCCUGAUGCAGCGACGCCGCGUGAGUGAAGAAGUAUUUCGGUAUGUAAAGCUCUAUCAGCAGGGAAGAAGAUGACAGUACCUGACCAAGAAGCCCCGGCUAACUACGUGCCAGCAGCCGCGGUAAUACGUAGGGGGCAAGCGUUAUCCGGAUUUACUGGGUGUAAAGGGAGCGUAGACGGUUAUGUAAGUCUGGAGUGAAAGCCCGGGGCCCAACCCCGGACUGCUUGAAACUGUGUAACUAGAGUACAGGAGGGGCAGGCGGAAUUCCUGGUGUAGCGGUGAAAUGCGUAGAUAUCAGGAGGAACACCGGCGGCGAAGGCGGCCUGCUGGACUGAAACUGACGUUGAGGCUCGAAAGCGUGGGGAGCAAACAGGAUUAGAUACC
rnacentral:rRNA from 1 species